rnacentral:rRNA from 1 species
ACGGUCCUAAGGUAGCGAAAUUCCUUGUCGGGUAAGUUCCGACCCGCACGAAAGGUGUAACGAUUUGGGCACUGUCUCAACGAGGGACCCGGUGAAAUUGAAAUACCUGUGAAGAUGCAGGUUACCCGCGACUGGACAGAAAGACCCCAUGGAGCUUCACUGCAGCUUGAGAUUGAAUCCCGGUGACAGAUGCACAGGAUAGGUGGGAGGCGUCGAAGCAUUGCCCUAGGGCGGUGCGGAGCCGAUGUUGGGAUACCACCCUUCUGUUGCUGAGAUUCUAACGCGAGGAGUAACGACCCUGCGGACCCUCUCAGGCAGGCGGUUUGACUGGGGCGGUCGCCUCCGAAAGAGUAACGGAGGCGCCCAAAGGUUCCCUCAGCGCGGCCGGAAAUCGCGCGAAGAGUGUAAAGGCAGAAGGGAGCUUGACUGCGAGUCAAACACGACGAGCAGGUACGAAAGUAGGGCUUAGUGAUCCGGUGGUACCGAGUGGAAGGGCCAUCGCUCAACGGAUAAAAGCUACCCUGGGGAUAACAGGCUAAUCUCUCCCAAGAGUCCAUAUCGACGGGGAGGUUUGGCACCUCGAUGUCGGCUCAUCACAUCCUGGGGCUGAAGUCGGUCCCAAGGGUUGGGCUGUUCGCCCAUUAAAGUGGUACGUGAGCUGGGUUCAGAACGUCGUGAGACAGUUCGGUCCCUAUCCAUCGCGGGCGCAAGAGAUUUGAAGGGGGCUGCUCCUAGUACGAGAGGACCGGAGUGGACGAACCGCUGGUGUACCAAUUAUCCCGCCAGGGGUACAGUUGGGUAGCUACGUUCGGAAAGGAUAAACGCUGAAAGCAUCUAAGCGUGAAACCAGCCUUAAGAUGAGAUCUCUCAUAGAGCAAUCUAGUAAGACACCUUAAAGAAGAUGAGGUUGAUAGGUCGGGAGUGUAAGUACAGCAAUGUAUUGAGCGGACCGAUACUAAUAUGUCGAGGGCUUGACUUA